GUGAUAACUUGCACCCAGAGGCACCUCCACAAAUGACAGAUAGAGCAUCUGACCAACAGGCUUUCCACUAGAGGGUCCUCGAUGCUAUACUGAGCGCCAGUCAGGGCCAGGC
rnacentral:lncRNA from 1 species